AUAGAACGCUGGCGGCAGGCCUAACACAUGCAAGUCGAGCGCGAAAGUCUUCGGAUGAGUAGAGCGGCGGACGGGUGAGUAACGCGUAGUAAUCUACCUGGUAGUGGGGGAUAACUCGGGAAAACUCGAGCUAAUACCGCAUACGUCAUGAGGGGGAAAGCGGGGGAUCGCAAGACCUCGUGCUCUCAGCUGCGCCUGCGUAGGGUUAGCUAGUUGGUAAGGUAAAGGCCUACCAAGGCGACGAUCCUUAGCUGGUCUAACAGAAUGAUCAGCCACACUGGGACUGAAACACGGCCCAGACUCCUACGGGAGGCAGGAGUGGGGAAUAUUGGACAAUGGGGGCAACCCUGAUCCAGCCAUGCCGCGUGUGUGAAGAAGGCCUUCGGGUUGUAAGCACUUUCAGCGGGGAGGAAGGCUUCAUGACUAAUAUUCAUGGCGAUUGACGUUACCCGCAGAAGAAGCACCGGCUAACUCCGUGCCAGCCGCCGCCGUAA
rnacentral:rRNA from 1 species